CUGGGGGGGCCAGGGGCUGCAACACAGGACAUGGGAGCUCCGCCCCCCACCACCUCGUGUCUUGUGUUGCAGCCAGUGGAACCGU
rnacentral:pre_miRNA from 1 species